rnacentral:rRNA from 1 species
GACGAACGCUGGCGGCGUGCUUAACACAUGCAAGUCGAACGGAAAGGCCCUGCUUGCCGGGUACUCGAGUGGCGAACGGGUGAGUAACACGUGGGUGAUCUGCCCUGCACUUCGGGAUAAGCCUGGGAAACUGGGUCUAAUACCGGAUAGGAGCCAUUUUUAGUGUGAUGGUUGGAAAGUUUUUUCGGUGUAGGAUGAGCUCGCGGCCUAUCAGCUUGUUGGUGGGGUAAUGGCCUACCAAGGCGGCGACGGGUAGCCGGCCUGAGAGGGUGGACGGCCACAUUGGGACUGAGAUACGGCCCAGUCUCCUACGGGAGGCAGCAGUGGGGAAUAUUGCACAAUGGGCGCAAGCCUGAUGCAGCGACGCCGCGUGGGGGAUGACGGCCUUCGGGUUGUAAACUCCUUUCGCUAGGGACGAAGCUUUUUGUGACGGUACCUAGAUAAGAAGCACCGGCUAACUACGUG